ensembl:lincRNA Gm7598 predicted gene 7598
ACAGUUCUCUGUUUGCAUUUACUUGCCAGAACAUCUGUUGGAAUCUACUUCUGCAGAAGACCAGGUGAAACAACUAGCCUCAAAGGACUGAGUAACUACUAGACUAUUGGAUUUCCCAUCCACAGCUGCCCAUUAGUUGGACUACAGACUAGCUUCUUCACUUGUUCAUUGAACAGGAAGAGAAGAUGUUGGAACAGAAAGUUUUAAACAAAUACUACCCACCUGACUUUGACUCAGCGAAGAUCCUGAAACUCAAGCUACCAAAGGACCGGCAGUAUGUGGUGCAGCUGAUGGCCCUCUUCAACAUGAGGUUUAAGACAUGUGGAGAAUACAUCCACAAGGGGAAGAAGUUCAACACGCAAAAGGAAACAGUCCAGAGCGAGGCAUAACUGGGCCUGCCAAUCUUCCGAUUCUACAUCAAGUGCACAUGCUGCUUGGCCGAGAUCAUCUUCAAGACAGACCAGAGAACACGGACUACACCUUAGAGCACGGGGCCACGCGCAACGGCCGGGAAGCUUCUGGAUGAGGAGGAGAAGCGCGUGCAGAAGGAGUGAGAGGAUGAGGAACUGAACAACCCCAUGAAGGCACAUGGACUUUGAGGCCAUGCUGCGGCAACACCGCCUGUCUCAGGAGCAGUGGUGACAGCAGCAGGAGGAGGAAGAAAAGCAGGAGACAGCGGCCUUGCUGGAGGAGGCUUGUCAUUGAAGGCUUCCGGAGGACUCUGACUCAGAGGAUGAGGCUCCACCUUCCCGACCACAGGCAGCUGUAAGACCCAACCCCACAGCCAUCCUCGACAAGGUACCAAAGACCAAGAGGAAAAACAGAGGCCCUGUGCAGCAAAGCACAGUUGGCAGGCUUGGUUGUACCAAAGAAGGUAAUGACGGAGGCCAGCAGGGGCUCAGAGCAAGCAGGUCCGGGUGCCAGCCGCUGGUGCCCCCAAGAGCAGAAACGUGGCCAACCCUACACCCCAGACACCUGGUGCCUCCUCUCUGAGCUAGCUGGGUGCAUAUGGGCACAGCGAGGACAGAGAGACAGCUGAGCACCACUGAUGCUCACCCUGGCAUCAUAGACCCAAGAAAUGAGGAAAUGGGAUCAAGGAAACACCUUCAGCAAAGGCCUCUGGACCAUUUCUGCCAUGGGUCCUGACAAGGUGUGGAGAAGCAAUGUACCCAGGCACCCCAGGACAGAAAGCCUGGUCCACUCCUUCAGGCCUUGAGUUGUGUGGAGCCUGUUGGCUGGUCCCUUCCUGCCACAGAUCUAAACACUGACAUGGAACAGGGGACAGUGACAAUGGGCACCAUCUCCCAACCAUACACAAGGUCUGGGGCUUCACCUGCAUGCAAGACAGUAGUACUGUAAAAAAAAAACCAAGAAUAGAAAAUGAUUUGAAAAGCAAACAACAAAAAAGCAGUUACCCAUUAUGCCUAAGCCAUGUUGGGUGCCACCUGUAGGCAUGAAUUUUUUGCAACCUAAUUUUAAUAGGGUUCAACCUCUUCUCUAGCCCACCACCCAGCAAGAGGUAGUGGAAGACAAAAGUUAUUAGAAUAGGGGGAAGUGGACCUGUUCAGCAAUAGUUCUUUGGGGACAAGCUUGGUCUUCUUGGGCAGCAGUUCAGUCCUGUAGCAAACAUCAUGACUCAGCAGCGGCAGACCCGUCCUCUAGGCAGGCAGAUGCCAGGCAGCUGUAGUUCAAUCCUGAAGAAACUGCCAGGCUCUUCAUCUGGCUUUAGGAGAGGCCACAGAGGCGGCGAGGAACCUCAUGAGCCAUUCUUGGGUGAGUUUCUCUCAAUGGCAGCGUUAUCACCAGCUCAGCUCAACAGCACUGUGUAAGGUGACACCAAUGCAUUCGUGUCUUGAGCGAAGAAAGCAAACCAAACCAAGGCUCACUGCUCAUCUCCCACUGGUCUGUGGGGGCAUAUUUAUACUCCUUCAUCAAGUGUCCUUUCACGUGUUUGCCUUAGCAAGACGUCCUUUCACCUGUGUGCCCCAGCAAAACAUCGUUUGACAUAACUAACUCUCCAAAGAACUAGAGGAUUCCAGUUUAUGUGGGUAUGGGGUUGGGGAUUGGGAGGGGCUAGUUAGUGAGUGUCAUCAGAGUGAAGUUGCCCCAUCUUUGAGGACUUUUACAAGUCAAACAAGAUAAAAGGGAUAGUGUUGAUAGGUUGGAAUGGUACCUGAUAUAUGGUACUAUGAAGUAAGUAGUACUUAUUUUAUUUUGUCAUUAUCAUUGGUGGCACAGCUAUCUAUCUUGUAGUAUCAUUGUGAGCAGAGUAUUAAAUGAAAUGAAAUAACAAAGUUCCUAGCAGAUACCCUGAGACACAAGACUCAGCUGGAAUUAAUUCCUGUCCUCCUUCUGAGGGUUCCUUCCCAAUCCAGUCCACUCCGUGAAGCUUUCCCCUGCUUUCAUGCCCCCUGGCUCACAACAUGGAGACACUUUUGUUAUUUUGGGACCUCAUGGGUGAAGCAUGACUACCAAGGAUACAGGUUGUUGUGGGAGACCUGACUUCUUCCCACUGAGUUUCAGGGAAGCAAGUAAGCUUGCCUAGAGGUAGCAUCCCAGACAACAGAUGCUGAAGUUGAGCUCUCUGUGCUCCUUUAGUUAAGAAUAGCCCCAUGUGCUUGUAUGGAUGAAUAUUUGGUCCCAAAUUAGUGAACUAUUUUGGGAGGAUUAGGAGAUGUCGCCUUGUUGAAGGAGGUGUGUCAAUGGGAGUAGGCUUUGGAGUUUCAAAAACCCAUGCCUAGUACUACCUGAGGAUCCAGAUAUACCACUCUCCUGGGCAUUAUACCCAGAAGAUGUUCCAUCAUGUAAUAAGAACACAUGCUCCACUAUGUUCAUAGCAGCCUUAUUUAUAAUAGCUAGAAGCUGGAAAGAACCCAGAUGUCCCUCAAUAAAGGAAUGGUUACCGACAAUGUGAUACAUUUACACAAUGGAGUACUACUCAGCUAUUAAAAACAAUGAAUUUAUGAAGUUCUUAGACAAAUAGAACUAGAAAAUCCUG